rnacentral:rRNA from 1 species
AUGGAAGAUAACAACUUAUGCAUUUUGAAUUGGAAUGUUCGUGGAUUGAACUGCCCAGACCGUCGUUCUACUGUACAUGAAACCAUCGCCUCCACUUCUUGCAACAUUGUAUGUCUUCAAGAAACCAAGCUUGCAGCCGUGGAUCCUUUUAUCGCUGCUUUCCUAGGCGGCCAUCGUCUAAAAAGUUUCGCUGAGCGGCCCGCAAAUGGCACCCGUGGAGGAAUUCUUCUAUUAUGGAAUGAAGACCUAGUAAAGAUUGAUAAUGUGAGCUUUGGGGACUUCUUCCUCUCGGCAAUGGUGACUAUCAUUGGCUCAAACACAUCCUUCCAAAUCACAACC